CCUACGGGCGGCAGCAGUGAGGAAUAUUGGUCAAUGGCCGGGAGUCUGAACCAGCCAAGUCGCGUGAGGGAAUAAGGCCCUAUGGGUCGUAAACCUCUUUUCUGAGGGACGAAGAAAGUGACGGUACCUCAGGAUUAAGCCACCGCUAAAUACGUGCCCGCAGCCGCGGGAAUACGUAGGUGGCAAGCGUUAUCCGGAUUUAUUGGGUUUAAGGGGCGUGUAGGCGGGAAAGUAAGUCAGAUGUGAAAGCUUGGGGCUCAACCCUGAGCCUGCAUGUGAAACUGGUUUUCUUGAGUGCUGGAGAGGCAAUCGGAAUUCCGGGUGUAGCGGUGAAAUGCGUAGAUAUAACGAGGAACACCAGUUGCGAAGGCGGAUUGCUGGACAGUAACUGACGCUGAGGCGCGAAAGCGUGGGGAGCAAACAGGAUUAGAUACCCCUGUAGUC
rnacentral:rRNA from 1 species